CUGGCAGUCAUUCACUGUCCGAGUUGUAAAUUGAAGAGAGUGUCAUCCACGCUGGACCACGUCCAAAUUGUAAUGAUCCACAGUCCUUUGAUGGAGUAUCAGAGAGGGUAAUAAUCCCGUCUUUAACGUGGACUUGCCAGUGUUUCUGUGAUGCACUCUCUCAGAGUCGAGUAGUUUGGGAAUGCUGCUCUAAUGGGAGGUAAACUCCUUCUAAAGCUAAAUAUUGGCGAGAGACCGAUAGCGAACAAGUACCGUGAGGGAAAGAUGAAAAGAACUCUGAAAAGAGAGUCAAACAGAACGUGAAAUUGCUGAAAGGGAAGCNUUUGGAGUCAGACACGUCUUCAUGCAAUACGACUCSGCANUAAAGCUGAAGGGAGUGCUUGAAACGGGCCAGCAUUCACGAAAACCAUUGAAGAAGGGUCAUGGAAUGUA
rnacentral:rRNA from 1 species